GCAAAAUGUUAUCUUUGAGCUAUGCCAUUUGGCUUCCAGUGGACACACAAAAUGGACACACAUCAAAUGUCAACCAGGCUGAUAACAGACAGGAAGCAAUUUUGAAUCUGUCCUGGCACAGAUUUGCACUGACUCCAGCUCACAGCAGAUAAUUAAUCUAAGAGUUGGCACUGUAUGGGAAACUAAUAAAAAGAGUUCUGGUA
rnacentral:lncRNA from 1 species